rnacentral:rRNA from 1 species
CUGGGAAUGAACUAAGCAUGCGAGUCAUUGUAGCAAUACAAGGCAGACGGCUCAGUAACGCGUAGUCAACCUAACCUAUGGACGGGAAUAAUCUCGGGAAACUGAGAAUAAUGCCCGAUAGAACACUAUAUCUGGAAUGGUUUGUGUUCCAAAUGAUUUAUCGCCAUAGGAUGGGACUGCGGCCUAUCAGUUUGUUGGUGAGGUAAUGGCCCACCAAGACUAUUACAGGUACGGGCUCUGAGAGGAGUAGCCCGGAGAUGGGUACUGAGACACGGACCCAGGCCCUAUGGGGCGCAGCAGGCGAGAAAACUUUGCAAUGUGCGAAAGCACGACAAGGUUAAUCCGAGUGGUUUCUGCUAAAGGAACCUUUUGUCAGUCCUAGAAACACUGAUGAAUGAGGGGUGGGCAAGUUCUGGUGUCAGCCGCCGCGGUAAAACCAGCACCUCAAGUGGUCAGGAUGAUUAUUGGGCCUAAAGCAUCCGUAGCCGGCUCUAUAAGUUUUCGGUUAAAUCUGUAUGCUCAACGUACAGGCUGCCGGGAAUACUGUAGAGCUAGGGAGUGGGAGAGGUAGACGGUACUCGGUAGGAAGGGGUAAAAUCCUUUGAUCUAUUGAUGACCACCUGUGGCGAAGGCGGUCUACCAGAACACGUCCGACGGUGAGGGAUGAAAGCUGGGGGAGCAAACCGGAUUAGAUACCCGGGUAGUCCCAGCUGUAAACUAUGCAAACUCAGUGAUGCAUUGGCUUGUGGCCAAUGCAGUGCUGCAGGGAAGCCGUUAAGUUUGCCGCCUGGGAAGUACGUACGCAAGUAUGAAACUUAAAAGGAAGUGGCGGGGGAGCACCACAAGGGGUGAAGCCUGCGGUUCAAUUGGAGUCAACGCCGGGAAAUC